CCCGGCCGCGCGGCCCGGGCCAGGCCCUGCCUGCCUGCGGCUCCACACAGCUCCUGGGCUGGCUUACUGCUCCCAGGUUUUACCGACGGAGACACAAUCCCUGGCUGCCACACCAGCCUGAGGAAUUCACCAGGCUGGAGAGCCCAACGCGCUGCUGAUUCUGGCCCACAGCUAGACCCGUCUCUCUUCAGGCAUAUCUUCUCCCUUCUCUGGAUGAAUUCUAGACCCCAGGUAGUUCAAGCUGAAUAACAACAUAUUCGACCAAAAAAGAGGAAACCAAAUAUUGGUUGCUAGAAAUGACCACUGAGGGAAGAUCUGGGAGCUCUGAGAGAUUUUUGCUGCUUCAUGUGUCUCCAUAUCAUAUGCUCUGAGGACUACAGAAUUCAAGCAUUCAGUCUUUUUCAUUAGCCAGGUAUGAGCAGAUAAAGAUUUUUGUGCAAAGAUGAAGUUCAAAUUGAAGAAGGUGCUUUUGAAAUGUCAAGAUCAUCCAGUGUGUGCAUUUGUCCUCUGAAACUGAAACAAGUGUUGAUCUUGGAAUUCCAUGGAAGAGGAUCUUAAGAGAACUGUGUCUUAUGUAUACCAAAAUAAUCUAAGCUCUUACCCUCAAGGGCUUGGAAAAAUAAUAUUUCUAUGAAGAGUUGUAGCUGCGUGUUUGAAUCUGAGACUCUUUGACUAGUAAUAUUUACUUUAGUCUCUUAAAGUAUUUUUAUAGAGUACAUAUCUUAGACUUUUACAGAAAAUUAAAAUUUAAUGUUUGAUAUCCAUAAACAAUAUAUACCACAUGUACCUAAUGUAUAUUUUCUCAUUUUGAAUUUAAAUCUUGUUGAUAAUGGCCCUUUUGCUUCCUACCUUUACCUCUCCACCCCGUAUGUUCAGGGCAGUUAUGUUUUUGUUUGACACUAAUCAAAACUAAAUACCUGUUAGAGGUUGACCACUUUUGUGCUCUGAGGGAAACCCAUUGCAUCUGAGGAACUUUACAUCCUAGUUACGCUUUUGGUUUGUCUAUGAAAAUCCAGAAGAGGCAUAAAUGGAGAGAAAUCCCUUGCGAUGGAUUCACAGCUCUUAGCUUGUUUUUCCCCCUUGCUGUAAAGGGUUUCAGGAAAAAAAAAAGAAAAAAUA